UUUUUGGAGUCGUUUGGUCCCUUUCUGCGCAGGUUGGGAUUGGUAGCAAUGCUGUGUGUUUUGAAGGUAUUGCACUUGUCCCGGCCUGUAAAGGAUUGUGGAGAUUGUACCCCACAAAU
rnacentral:pre_miRNA from 8 species